UUAGACGAAAGUUAUAUAACGGACUAAAACAACGAUUCAAGAAUUUUUAAAGGAUAAGAGAGUUUACGAUGUUGAUAAAUUGUCAGAUAAUGAUGGUUCUCGUAUCAAAUGCUUCCUCGUUUAAAGCCUCUAAUAGGAAAGUAUCGAUGAUAAAGCUGAUAUGCUGCUUCAAUGGUCUGUCAAUACUUAAAUUUUUUAGUUAGGAUAUAGAAGAUGAACUACUUGAAAUUCUCCAAAUAAUCUGAUCAAUUUAUCAGGUCGACAAACCUUCAGUGUCGACGACAUCCAAAAGGCUAUACAAUACGAAGACAUACGAAAUAAUACGGAAAGCGACGACAAUGGAUCAUGGGCGCAUGCGUAUAUCGUGUCGUACAAAACAGGGCGAAAUUACUUUCCCAAACAUGGCGGCGAAAAAUGUUGUUAUUUAGUUGGUGUGAAGUCAAGAGAAACAACAGUAAGAACCAUACUGCCAUAUGAAAAUUUCUAAAGCAGCAGCUGAGAAAUAACCAGAUCUAAAGCUCAAAGAGCAACAAUUAGCAGGGAGAUACACAAGAACUAUGGCUUCUAGUUCCAGUGACACACAAAGUAAUCUCUCAUCAUCAGGAGGGUACACCGUGCCUGUACCAUUAAUCAUAUUUGGGAUUCAAGAAGGUACCAAUCUUCCAACAGGCGUGCCAGACACCAUUGACAAAGAGCUACGGCCCUCAAGAGGACGUAUGCCCACCCAAGAGAGUAAAAAAACUCCUCCAAACAUUAAAGACGGUGAAAGAGAUCCGAUAGCUUUAUAAAUAAUUUUGAAUUGUGUCAAUAUCGAUAUAUGCUCUGAUAGAGUAAUCAUAAAGUAAUCUUAAAAUAAUAUAAUU